ensembl:lncRNA
GCAGGUGAGGCCGCUGCCGGGGUCCCCCGGGACCGAAGGGGACUCUUUGGGGGUCCUCGGGGACAAUCACAGGAAGCGAUCCUCCGGAAGAAGCUGGACAGGAGGACUUCUUGAACAAACCUGGGGGUUCUUUCUGGAGGGACACCCCCGCCCCAGGUGUCCAGCGGAGCUUGCGGCGCUCCGGCCCCUGGGGAUCGAUCGGCUGGCUGGCGACGCGCCGCCGCGGCUCCGGAGCCACCGCCCCCUCCCCCACCCUGGCUACGCAGGACGCGGCCUCGGAGCAGCGUCCUGGCGGUUGCGGGCCGCGGCCGGACCCGGCUCCAGGCCAGCCGCGAAGGCGGAGACCGACCGGCUCCUUCCGAUCGCUCCGGCCUCGCCACUCCUGGGUUGGCUGGGACGAUGAGGGGGAGGAGAGCGAGCCCAGCUUCCCCGGCCGCGGCGCUCGCCACCCCACCCCCGCUCCUCCUCCGUCGCCAACUACCCACUCCUGCGCGCGCUUAACCCUCAGCGCGCCGCGAGGCCGGGA